GACGGAGGGUGCUAGCGUUGUUCGGAAUUAUUGGGUUUAAAGGGUGCGUAGGCGGUCCUAUAAGUCAGUGGUGAAAUAUCGCAGCUCAACUGUGAGGGUGCCAUUGAUACUGUAGGACUUGAGUGAAUUUGAGGUAGGCGGAAUUGACGGUGUAGCGGUGAAAUGCUUAGAUAUCGUCAAGAACACCGAUAGUGAAGACAGCUUACCAAGCUUCAACUGACGCUGAGGCACGAAAGUGUGGGGAUCAAACAGG
rnacentral:rRNA from 1 species